GGGAAUAUAGCUCAAGUGGCAGAGCGCAUGCUUAGCAUGCAUGAGGUCCUUGGUUCAAUCCCUGGUACUUCCU
rnacentral:tRNA from 1 species